rnacentral:lncRNA from 1 species
UCAGCUGUGUGAUAUGACCUGGAUAUUUCUUUCCCAACUACUGGAUAUGAGGUACUUAUUGAGUGGAUGAUCAGCUCAAACUUCAUACUUUUUAGAAGCAUAUGGCCACAGAAGUUGCUGUUGAUGCUUUGGAUGAAAAAUAGGGUGGUUAUGUUUUCAAAUUCUCUGUGGGAAUGACAGACAAGAUUUCCCCAUGAACAGAUUGUCUUGACCUAUGAUCAUGGCUGCCUGCUACUGAGUAAGGGGUAUUCCUGUUAUGGACCAAGGAGAACUGGAGGGAUAAAAUGCAAAUCUCUUCAGGGUUGCAUUGUGGAUGCCAAUCUGAUGGUUCUCAAUAUGGUUACUGUGAAAAAAAAGAGGAAAGAAUAUUUGUAAAGGACACUACUGUGUCUUGUCACCUGGGACCCAAAAGAAAAAGCAGAAUCCUCAGACUUUUUAAUCUGCCUAUAUGUUGUCCAAAAACCUUGAAACAAACAAGAUAAGAAACCUAGGACCAAAGCAUGGAAGAUUCAGUGUCUUAUUAUUUCACAGUGUCUUGCAACACAAACACCAACACAUUACUCUGAAGUAAUAGUGUAGGAAAAAAGUGCCCAGAACAUAUUGCCAAGAGUUGUAGGCUGUCCUUUCUGAGAGCUUCUACUCUAAAAUCUGAAUGCAGUCAAAAAAUUUAAAAAAAAAAACAAAACAUUUUUUUAGAGUAAGAAAUGUAAAAAAUCA